rnacentral:rRNA from 1 species
CUUCCGUAGGUGAACCUGCGGAAGGAUCAUYAAUUAUGUUAAAGCGCYUUACCUUAGGGUUUCCUCUGGGGUAAGUGAUUGCUUCUACACUGUGAAAAUUUGGCUGAGAGACUCAGACUGGUCAUGGGUAGACCUAUCUGGGGUUUGAUCGAUGCCACUCCUGGUUUCAGGAGCACCCUUCAUAAUAAACCUAGAAAUUCAGUAUUAUAAAGUUUAAUAAAAAACAACUUUUAACAAUGGAUCUCUUGGUUCUCGCAUCGAUGAAGAACGUAGCAAAGUGCGAUAACUAGUGUGAAUUGCAUAUUCAGUGAAUCAUCGAGUCUUUGAACGCAGCUUGCACUCUAUGGUUUUUCUAUAGAGUACGCCUGCUUCAGUAUCAUCACAAACCCACACAUAACAUUUGUUUAUGUGGUAAUGGGUCGCAUCGCUGUUUUAUUACAGUGAGCACCUAAAAUGUGUGUGAUUUUCUGUCUGGCUUGCUAGGCAGGAAUAUUACGCUGGUCUCAGGAUCUUUUUCUUUGGUUCGCCCAGGAAGUAAAGUACAAGAGUAUAAUCCAGCAACUUUCAAACUAUGAUCUSAAGUCAGGUGGGAUUACCCGCUGRACUUAAGSRUAUCAAUAAGCGGAGGA